UUCUGGCCUCGCUCUCGCGAGAGCUCGCACUUCUCGCGAUACCCGACGCCCGACUUGUGCGCCCGGGAAACCCCGUUGCUCCCUUUCCCCUGGCUGGCAGCGCGGAGGCCGCACGAUGCCUGGAGUUACUGUAAAAGACGUGAACCAGCAGGAGUUCGUCAGAGCUCUGGCAGCCUUCCUCAAAAAGUCUGGGAAGCUGAAAGUCCCUGAAUGGGUGGACACUGUCAAGCUGGCCAAGCAUAAAGAGCUUGCUCCCUACGAUGAGAACUGGUUCUACACACGAGCUGCCUGCUUCAGCUGUAGAGAGGACUCUACUUUGCUUGAGAAGGAUCCUCACAUCUCACGCACACCCCACCCAGCUUCCACAGCACGGCACCUGUACCUCCGGGGUGGCGCUGGAGUCGGCUCCAUGACCAAGAUCUACGGAGGACGUCAGAGAAAUGGGGUCAUGCCCAGCCACUUUAGCAGAGGCUCCAAGAGCGUGGCCCGCAGGGUCCUCCAAGCCCUAGAGGGGCUGAAAAUGGUGGAAAAGGACCAAGAUGGAGGUGCCAGGUGUGUCCUGCCGUCUGCACCUGCCCCUCAGGCGGGCAGGGGAUUCUGCAGAAAAGCGAACAGUGAGGGGCCUCACCCCGACCUCUCUGGCUGACUACCCCAAGCUCCAGGAAGGGGACGCAAACUGACACCUCAGGGACAGAGAGAUCUGGACAGAAUCGCCGGACAGGUGGCAGCUGCCAACAAGAAGCAUUAGAACAAAUGC